rnacentral:rRNA from 1 species
AUUGAACGCUGGCGGAAUGCUUUACACAUGCAAGUCGGGCGGCAGCGCGGGGGCAACCCUGGCGGCGAGCGGCGAACGGGUGAGUAACACAUCGGAACGUAUCCUGUCGUGGGGGAUAACGAAUCGAAAGAUUCGCUAAUACCGCAUACGACCUGAGGGUGAAAGCGGGGGACCGCAAGACCUUCGGAGAUUGGAGCGGCCGAUGUCGGAUUAGCUAGUUGGUGAGGUAAAGGCGAACCAAGGCGACGAUCCGUAGCGGGUCUGAGAGGACGGCCCGCCUCACUGGAACUGAGACACGGUCCAGACUCCUACGGGAGGCAGCAGUGGGGAAUUUUGGACAAUGGGGGCAACCCUGAUCCAGCCAUUCCGCGUGAGUGAAGAAGGCCUUCGGGUUGUAAAGCUCUUUCGGCAGGAACGAAAAGGCUCUCUCUAACAUAGGGGGUCAAUGACGGUACCUGAAGAAGAAGCACCGGCUAACUACGUGCCAGCCGCCGCGGUAA